rnacentral:rRNA from 1 species
CCUACGGGAGGCAGCAGUGGGGAAUAUUGCACAAUGGGGGAAACCCUGAUGCAGCGACGCCGCGUGAGUGAAGAAGUAAUUCGUUAUGUAAAGCUCUAUCAGCAGGGAAGAAAAUGACGGUACCUGAGCAAGAAGCGCCGGCUAACUACGUGCCAGCGGCCGCGGUAAUACGUAGGGGGCAAGCGUAAUCCGGAUUUACUGGUUGUAAAGGGAGGGUAGGCGGGAGUGCAAGUCUGGAGUGAAAGGCGGGGGCUCACGCCCCGGACUGCUCUGGAAACUGUACGGCUGGAGUGCAGGAGAGGUAAGUGGAAUUCGUGGUGUAGCGGUGAAAUGCGUAGAUAUUAGGAAGAACACCAGUGGCGAAGGCAGCUUACUGGACUGUAACUGACGUUGAGGCUCGAAAGCGUGGGGAGCAAACAGGAUUAGAUACCCUAGUAGUC